UCCACUUUGACAUAAAGCUGAUUUAUAGAUGAAAGCAAAAAAAUCUAGCAUGGGGGUGAUAUCAGGUCAUAGGUAGGCAUGGCACCUGGACAGAUUAUGGCAACAAUAGCCUAAUAAUAAGAGGUGCAUCUAUAUUUUUCCUUAUUAACAUCUCAUUUAUAUUAAAGGGAUACUAACCCUAUUGAUUUGACUUUCUAAGAAACUAUGCGGUAUUAGUGCGACAUUUGGGCAUCAAGAAAAUAGGUUACGUUUACUGACACUGCACAAAAUGAAAUGUCCCGUGCGCAGAAAGUACAAGGCGGAAAUGUUUUUGGUAAUUCGAUCCAUCUUCAACGCUGUAUGAAAACAACUUCGUUGGACAGCUGUUGUAGACGUAGGGAUGGUCUGCAAUGCUGACUGUGUGAUCAGCAAUGUUGUGGCAAAAUGGCCUGGCUCAGUCCAUGACUCCAGAAUCUUUCGGGCCUCUGAAAUCUAUCAGUGCCUAUCACAAGGUGAAUUCUCUGGUGUGUUGCUGGGAGACAGGGGUAUGGCUGCCAGCCUUUUCUCCUGACACCUUUCACAGACCCCCAGGAAGCACAGCAGGCCUACAACCAUGCCCAUGCCAGGACCAGGGCCAGAGUUGAAAUGACCUUUGGCCUCCUGAAGGCACGCUUUCACUGCCUUCACAAAUUAAGGGUCAGCCCUGUUAGGGCAUGUGAUAUUACUGUGGCUUGUGCUGUCCUCCACAAUGUGGCCUGCCUGAGGAAGGAGAGGGCCCCCAGAGUGCCACCAGCCAUGGACUGGGACAAUCCGGCAAUCUUCCCUGAUGACGACAGUGGUCGGCUGCUGAGGGACCAAUAUGUGUUGAAUUAUUUUAGUUAGUAUGUGUGCUUUCAAUUUUGGUUAAAUAUGUCCUGCGGUGGCAGAGGAAUUUGGUUUUUUUUGGGUUCGUUUUUUUACGAAUUUGGCCUCUUAUGAUGUUUGUGCGGUAUACUGUGUGUAAUACAAGGCUGCAGGGAGGCUACUGCAUCCAUUAAUUUGUCUGUUCAGUUGAUGUGUAUGGAUUUGUCCUGCAUUUAUUUUAGUGUGCAGACAUGCAGGGUGUGUUAUAUACAGACCUUUGAAUGUGUAUGUAUCAUUUUGUAUAAUAUGCUUGGAUUCUGUGCUUUCCAUCUUGUAGUGUCACUGUGACUUCAGUUUCGAAAGGAGCUGAUGGUUUACCUGCUUUGUUUUGUCCUUAUUCAAUAAAGGAACAUAAUGUUA